UGACGGGGAGAGUUUAUAGGCCUGGGUAAGCUGGGUAAGGCGGGGCCUAGUGGACGGUGAGGAAGGCUGUGGGCCUGGCCUCAUAGGAUUAGGUCACUUCCUUCAGAGGAACUGAAGAGAACAGAAGCCCAGAGCCAGCGUUGCUGGGAAGUGGUGAGAGUUCCCACGUGAUCUAUUCUCUUUUCCCAAUGAUCACUGAACACCGUGAGAAGAGUGGCUGCCAGUGCGCAUGGAACGCUAUUGUAGGUAGAGGAGAGAGGAGAUAGAGAUGUGGAGGCUGCAGAGGGUUGGUCCAUUUGGUGGUACUGCCAGGAGAGUAGGGAGGAGGGAGAGAGGAGGAGAGGAGGCGUGUUUGAGGGGGACAGUUUAUAGGCCUGGGUAAGCUGGGUAAGGCGGGGCCUAGUGGACGGUGAGGAAGGCUGUGGGGUCGGUGGGCCAGAGGUCUCCAAGAGGCUGAAGGCUGUGGGUGCAGAGGCAUUAGAGGGAGGGAGCUGGACGACCAGGGCAUGGCCUUGAGAUUACUGCUGGGGCUGUCUCCCAUAUUCCCUAUAACGUGUGUACAGAUUUUCAAGCCACAAGACUGUGUGUGAUAAAAUGUACUCUUUAAACUUACAGCAGAUAUCUCUUCUUCAACCACCCAUUCCUGCUGCUUUCUGGUGGGAAACUCACGCUAAUAAUUCCUGGGGAAAUUCAGUCAAGGAAGCGUGUAGGAGAAAAGCACAGCGAUACAUCCCUCGAAGAUUAUCCCUCCGUAAAAUAGAAAGAAUAUUUUCCUAAGUGCGU
rnacentral:lncRNA from 1 species